AUUGAACGCUGGCGGCAUGCCUUACACAUGCAAGUCGAGCGCGAAAGGGGGGCAACCCCGAGUAGAGCGGCGGACGGGUGAGUAACACAUCGGAACGUGCCCAGUAGUGGGGGACAACCUCGAGAAAUCGAGGCUAAUACCGCAUACGACCCACGGGUGAAGCGGGGACCCAAAGGCAACUGAGGGCCUCGCGCUAUUGGAGCGGCCGAUGUCCGAUUAGCUAGUUGGCGGGGUAAGAGCCCACCAAGGCGACGAUCGGUAGCUGGUCUGAGAGGACGACCAGCCACACUGGGACUGAGACAC
rnacentral:rRNA from 1 species